rnacentral:rRNA from 1 species
AGGACGAACGCUGGCGGCGUGCUUAACACAUGCAAGUCGAACGGAAAGGCCCGCUUGCGGGUACUCGAGUGGCGAACGGGUGAGUAACACGUGGGCAACCUGCCCUCAGCUCUGGGAUAACUCCGGGAAACCGGUGCUAAUACUGGAUAUCGACUUCUGCCUCGCAUGGGGUGUUGUUGAAAGUUUUUCGGCUGGGGAUGGGCCCGCGGCCUAUCAGCUUGUUGGUGGGGUGAUGGCCUACCAAGGCGACGACGGGUAGCCGGCCUGAGAGGGCGACCGGCCACACUGGGACUGAGACACGGCCCAGACUCCUACGGGAGGCAGCAGUGGGGAAUAUUGCGCAAUGGGCGGAAGCCUGACGCAGCGACGCCGCGUGAGGGAUGACGGCCUUCGGGUUGUAAACCGUCUUUCAGCUCUGACGAAGCGAGAGUGACGGUAGGAGCAGAAGAAGCACCGGCCAACUACGCGCCAGCGAGCCGC